GAUGAACGCUGGCGGCGUGCCUAAUACAUGCAAGUCGAGCGAACAGACGAGAGUGCUUGCACUCUCUGACGUUAGCGGCGGGCGGGUGAGUAACACGUGGGUAACCUACCUAUAAGACUGGGAUAACUUCGGGAAACCGGAGCUAAUACCGGAUAAUAUUUAGCUUCGCAUGAAGCAAUAGUGAAAGACGGUUCUGCUGUCACUUAUAGAUGGACCCGCGGUGUAUUAGCUAGUUGGUGAGGUAACGGCUCACCAAGGCAACGAUACAUAGCCGACCUGAGAGGGUGGUCGGCCACACUGGGACUGAGACACGGCCCAGACUCCUACGGGAGGCAGCAGUAGGGAAUCUUCCGCAAUGGACGAAAGUCUGACGGAGCAAUGCCGCGUGAGUGAAGAAGGUUUUCGGAUCGUAAAACUCUGUUGUAAGGGAAGAACAAGUACGUUAGUAACUGAGCGUACCUUGACGGUACCUUAGCAGAAAGCCACGGCUAACUACGUG
rnacentral:rRNA from 1 species